UGGGUGGCUCAGUCAAUCUGUGGAACAUGCGACUUUUAAUCUCAGGGUUUUGAGCUGGAGUCCCACAUUGAGUGUAGAUAUUACUUAA